rnacentral:rRNA from 1 species
UACAGAGGUCCCAAGCGUUGUUCGGAUUCAUUGGGCGUAAAGGGUGCGUAGGUGGCGUCGUAAGUCGGGUGUGAAAUCUCGGGGCUUAACUCCGAAACUGCAUUCGAUACUGCGGUGCUUGAGGACUGGAGAGGAGACUGGAAUUUACGGUGUAGCAGUGAAAUGCGUAGAGAUCGUAAGGAAGACCAGUGGCGAAGGCGGAUCUCUGGACAGUUCCUGACGCUGAGGCGCGAAGGCCAGGGGAGCAAACGGG